GGUGGUUGCACUGCCAGAUGGGGCACCUGGGGGCUUGUCCCCUCUGAUGUCACAGGUGCCAGAGCCCCAUGGUGACCCCACCCUGCCAGCCUGGGCUUUGGAUGGAAUUGAGAUGAAACUCAGAUGGAACCAGAGAGCUUAUGACCUUUGGAAGGAGGAGCAGCCACUCAGGAGGGCUUCAAGCUGUCGUGGGGUUAUGCAGGGAGAAAAUUGGAAGAGCCAAAGCCUGACUGGAAAUUAAUUUGUCCAGUGCUGUAAAAGACUAAAAAAUGUUUCUGCAGAGAAGGGAACUCCCUGACAGCUUCCUUGCAUGCCAUCAGACGUCUCCGACCCUUGAACAGGGCUUUUCACAAUGUACAUUUUGGAUAUAGACUCUUAAAUUCUGCCUAAGCACCGCUUUGCAUGAAUAAAUCUCCUUUUUGAACUGAGAA